CCUACGGGGGGCAGCAGUGGGGAAUAUUGGACAAUGGGGGGAACCCUGAUCCAGCCAUGCCGCGUGUGUGAAGAAGGCCCUCGGGUUGUAAAGCACUUUCAGUGAGGAAGAACGCCUGGUGGUUAAUACCCAUCAGGAAAGACAUCACUCACAGAAGAAGCACCGGCUAACUCCGUGCCAGCAGCCGCGGUAAUACGGAGGGUGCGAGCGUUAAUCGGAAUUACUGGGCGUGAAGCGCGCGUAGGUGGCUUGAUAAGCCGGUUGUGAAAGCCCCGGGCUCAACCUGGGAACGGCAUCCGGAACUGUCAAGCUAGAGUGCAGGAGAGGAAGGUAGAAUUCCCGGUGUAGCGGUGAAAUGCGUAGAGAUCGGGAGGAAUACCAGUGGCGAAGGCGGCCUUCUGGACUGACACUGACACUGAGGUGCGAAAGCGUGGGUAGCAAACAGGAUUAGAUACCCUGGUAGUC
rnacentral:rRNA from 1 species